CCUACGGGAGGCAGCAGUGAGGAAUAUUGGUCAAUGGCCGCAAGGCUGAACCAGCCAAGUAGCGUGAGGGAUGACUGCCCUAUGGGUUGUAAACUUCUUUUAUGCGGGGAUAAAGGUAUUCACGUGUGGCUGUUUGCAGGUACCGCAUGAAUAAGGAUCGGCUAACUCCGUGCCAGCAGCCGCGGUAAUACGGAGGGUCCGGGCGUUAUCCGGAUUUAUUGGGUUUAAAGGGAGCGUAGAUGGGUUGUUAAGUGAGUCGUGAAAGUUUGUGGCUCAACCGUAAGAGUGCAUCUGGUACUGGAGGCCUUGAGUACUGGGGAGGCAGGCGGAAUUCGUGGUGUAGCGGUGAAAUGCUUAGAUAUCACGAAGAACCCCGAUUGCGAAGGCAGCCUGCUAAAGCGCCACUGACACUGAGGCUCGAAAGCGCGGGUAUCAAACAGGAUUAGAUACCCGAGUAGUC
rnacentral:rRNA from 1 species